ACAGCAACAGCAACUCUAACAACGACACAAGCCCUGACAAUCUUAGUCCCAAGUGCACAUGCAAUGGCAGCAGCAGUAGACAGUUUCUGCCCUUGCGAUUAAAACCUCCGAAGUACAGGCCACAGCAAGUGGACUUCCUGCUCAAAUCUAUGCCAAAUCGUGUGAGUGACUAUCAGAGGGGACAACCAUGUUAGCUACUUUUGUCACUGCCAUGCCCACAUCUUAAUUCCUGACACAGACGGCUUAAGGGAAUCUAGGUGUGACAAUCACUCCUGCCUGAGGCUCCCUACAAACCUUGGCAACUCCUUUUUGAAAGCCUUGCAUUACCAUGGAAGAAGACACAGCGAGAUACCAGGGCUCAAAGCUGUGCUAUAUUGCCUCCUGCCAGUUAAAGCACUGUGGCUGGGUAUAAAUGUCAGUGAGUCAACGUGAAGAGAUGCUAAGAAUAUGGCCUGAGUUAUGUCAGUGGAUUUGGCUGCUGAAGUGAGUCUCUGGUGGCCAGCCACAGGGACCCAGCCCCGUCCUGUCACCUUCCAAGAACUCACCAGAACAAAGCCAGCUUCAAAAUAACUUUCUCAUCUCACCACACAGAUGGGAGGCCUCUAACAAAGUAAAAUCUUAAUAAGAACAAAAGUGGAGUUAAGAAUAUUUGCAUGUCCAUAUGUUCAUUUACUUGUUGAUAUUUAUUUAUAUCUGAAAGUAUG